ACAAACUUGGUCAUUUAGAGGAAGUAAAAGUCGUAACAAGGUUUCCGUAGGUGAACCUGCGGAAGGAUCAUUAGUGAAUAAACAAGUGCAGGUUGUGCUGGCCUUCUUGGUAUGUGCACGCCUGCCAAAGUUUCAUUCCAUCUUCCCACCUGUGCACUCUGUGUAGAUUCUGUAUGCUGUUGUCAAGCCUUUAUUGUGCUUGGUUGAGAGGAGUUGCUUGUUUUCACAAACAAGCUCUUCUUGGGCAUGCAGGUCUAUGUUUAUAUCAACACCAUAUGAAUGUUUUAGAAUGUGUAUCAGGCUUUUGGCCUUUAAAUUAUAUACAACUUUCAACAACGGAUCUCUUGGCUCUCGCAUCGAUGAAGAACGCAGC
rnacentral:misc_RNA from 1 species